rnacentral:lncRNA from 1 species
UUGUAGGACUGCCUGCUUCUCCUUCAUUUUCUGCCAUGAUUGUAAGUUCCCUGAAGCCUCCCCAGCCGUGCUUCGUGUACAGCCUGCAGAACUGGACUGUCAGAAGACCUGCUGGGAGCCCGCCAGCUGCCAGAAAUCCUGCUACCGCCCCAGGACCUCCAUCCUCUGCUGUCCCUGUCAGACGACUUGCUCUGGAUCUCUAGGCUUUCGGUCCAGCAGCUGUCGCUCCCAGGGCUAUGGAUCUAGGUGCUGCUACUCGCUGGGAAAUGGAUCCAGUGGCUUCAGAUUCCUGAAAUAUGGAGGCUGUGGUUUUCCUUCCCUGAGUUACGGAUCCAGAUUCUGCUACCCAAACUACUUGGCUUCUGGAGCCUGGCAGUCUUCUUGUUACAGACCAAUCUGUGGAUCUCGCUUCUAUCAAUUCACCUGCUAAAUUUCUAGAUCCUUUUGAGUAUUGGGAUCAAAGUCUCUACUGAAUGCAGCCAUUAUUUUCAUUCUUGCCAGAUCCCAAUAUCUUUUUAUUCUUCCACCACCAGCUUCUUGCAUGACCAACUUCUGGCAGACUGCGAAAUUAAUGAGUAACCUAAUAUUAACUUCUAAUAUCUUUACCAUUGAUCGAAUAUAUGCUAUCUGAUUUUCAUCCAAAAACUGUUGAAAAUGGAAAUUUUAAUCUAAUAAAUGUAUGUAAUCUGGUACCCAAA